GACGUAGGGGGCGAGCGUUGUCCGGAAUCACUGGGCGUAAAGAGCUCGUAGGCGGGGUUGCGCGUCGCGGAGUAAAUCCAUCUGCUCAACGGGUGGUUCAUCUGCGAUACGGCGACUCUUGAGGACAGGAGAGGAAAGCAGAAUUCCGAGUGUAGCGGUGAAAUGCGUAGAUAUUCGGAGGAAUACCAGUGGCGAAGGCGGCUUUCUGGCCUGAUUCUGACGCUGAGGAGCGAAAGCCAGGGGAGCAAACGG
rnacentral:rRNA from 1 species